rnacentral:rRNA from 1 species
ACAUGUCUUUAUGAAUAUAAUUUAAAGUUYAAUCUGCUCCAUGAUUAAUUUAUUAAAUAGCUGCAGUAUUUUGACUGUACAAAGGUAGCAUAAUCAAUAGUUUUUUAAUUAAAAGCUGGAAUGAAGGAUUUGAUAAGGUAAAUAUUGUCUCAAUUUUAAUAAAUUUAUAAUUUUUUUUUUAGUAAAAAUACUAAAUUGAAUUUAAAAGACGAGAAGACCCUAUAGAUUUUUAUAUUUUUUAAUUUAAUAAAUUUAAAUUAAUUUUUUUUUUAAGUUAAAAAUUUAUUUGGUUGGGGAAAUUAUUAAAUUAAUAAAAUUUUAAUAAUUAAUAAACAAAAAUUAUUGAGUUUAUGAUCUUAAUGUUUUGGAUAAAUAGAAUAAAUUACCUUAGGGAUAACAGCGUAAUUUUUUUGGAGAGAUCAUAUUGAUAAAAAAGUUUGCGACCUCGAUGUUGAAUUAAGAUAAAAUUUUAAUGGAGAAAUUAAAAAUUUUUGGUCUGUUCGACCAUUAAAAUCUUACGU